CUCCAGUCCCAGCUCCUGCAACUGCUCCAGCUCCUGCAGCCGCUCCAGCUCCUGUGGCCGUGUCAGAGAAACGAGCUGUAGCAGUGCAAGUUGACCCAGCAGAGGGUAUUCCAAUCCCUGUAACGGGGUCAGAGAAACGAGCUGUAGCAGUGCAAGCUGCCCCUGCAGAGGGUAUUCCAACCUCUGUGGCAGACCCUGUAACAAAGUCAGAGAAACGAGCAGUAGCAGUGCAAGCUGCCCCUGUAGAGAAGGUGAAAAUAUGGUAUAGAAAUUCAAGUCGUUUAGAACGCAGAGAGUCUUCUGCCAAUCCAGGUAAAGCUUCUGCCAAAACUAAGUAUAGAGAUGACGAAGAUGAUGACGACGCUGGGCCAUCAAGGAUUCAGGAGGAGGAAGAUGAGGAUGCCGAAAGAGCAACAGUAACUACCCGAAGCCUAAACGAGCGCGAGCUACGAGAUGUGCGAAAAGAUUUUGGUCGCUGUAUAGGUGAGCAGCUUGUCACCUGGCUGCUCCGGUGCUGGGACUCUGGAGCCAAUUGUGUGGAAUUAGACGGCAGGGAAGCCAGACGGUUGGGAUCCCUUGCUCGAGACGCCGGCAUUGACAAAGCAAUUGCAGAUGGAGCACGACCCACCAGCCUCUGGAGGCGUCUCCUCUCAGCUGUGAGGGAAAGGUAUCCCUUCAAGGAAGAUAUUUUAUGUCUACCAGGCAAGUGGACCACUAUGGAGAAGGGAAUCCAGUACCUGAGGGAAUUAGCCGUACGGGAAGUGAUUUAUGAGGAUCCAGACCAGACACAAACAUCCAAAGAUCCAGAUGAAGUCAAGUGUACACGACCCAUGUGGCGGAAGUUUGUACGGAGUGCACCAUCAUCAUAUGCCAGCUCAUUGGCAGUAAUGGCCUGGAAAGAGGAUGAGGAACCCACAGUAGAUGAGGCGGCUAAACAACUCCGGCAGUACGAAGAAAGUCUCUCCUCUUCCUUACAGGCCUGCGUCUCAGCUGUGGAGAAACUUUCUGAAAAGUUUCACCAACUUGAAGAGAAUCUAUUGUCCUCCCCACCUGAACCAACCAGUGCCCACCGACCAAAAGAGAACACUUGGGAGAAACUUUCUGAAAAGGUUCACCAACUUGAAGAGAGAUUAUUCUCCUCUGCACCUGCACAAAGCAGUGUCUCAGCUGUCAGGGGUAGGCGUUCACCCGCACAAGGAAGACG
rnacentral:lncRNA from 1 species